GGACUAGUAGUCAAUGAGCUGAGAGAAGCGAUUGAACUCCCAGCACUCCCUGUUCGGCUGUCCGCAGCUGACAGUCUAUUUUUUCCCAUGGUUGACUAAAUAUGGUCAGGGAGGGAAUGGCAUGAGAAGGAGCCACUUGGCUGGGACUGCAUGUUUCAGAUGCUUAGCUGGGUAUAUAAGCACUAGAAAGGUGAACUUGGUUUCUGAUCAGAGGUUUCCCCUAAACCCCCCAAUCCUCCCUCUUCCUACUAGGAAGCAUCCCCCUCCUCCCCUCCCCCCCCCAUUUGUGUGUGAGCAUGCGGGCAGACGAUACUCUUUUGUUUCAACCUGACCUCUACCUCAUGGUGACCCUAUCUUGGGGGGGGGGGAAGGAGGAGAGAAGACGGGGUGGGGGGAGAAAGGGGAGAGGGUGAGGGGAGACUUCUGCAGACACAGCCCUUAUACAUCAAGAGGUUGCCUAUAGGAGGAAGCCGAUGGCUGCAGCAUCCAGCGCAUUAUUACCUUGCGAUGCCAUGACCCUCCUCCAUGCAUCCCUAACUCUUUAAAGCUGAUUCAGCUAGCGCUCUGGAGGCUCCCCUGCUGCAACAGAAUCUCCUCACUGCUCACAUAUCCAGGUUUCCAGUUAUCCCUAUGAACCUUCGAUUUGACAAUUUGUCAGGUAAACCGCAACCAUUCUCAACUGCUACAGAGUUCAACUGGAUGGCUUUUUCCCAACACUGAAAGAAAGAAAGUCAAGAUAUUCUCUUUCUGGGACUCUUCUCUUUGGGAGGCAGAAGAAAUUCUGGAUUUACUAGAGACGGUUUUAUUGAAACUAUUCAUGGUGUUCUCAUCUCUGUGGUAACCAACAUGAAUCAGAGUGCUGCUACAAGCAGCAACUCCAAGUCUUCAAGAGGCCGAUGAAAAGAGAAAUGAAUCAUAACAGUACCUCAGCUACUGGCUUUGCUCAUGGAUUAACCCUAAGCAGACAGACGUUUUCCUUCCUUUCUUUCUUCAUCCCACCCCCCAUCAUCCCACCAUCCCACCAACAAGAUUUUCUGUUUCCCUCUUCCUUUAAAAUGACCUUAUGCUCUUAAAGAACUUGGCAGCAGGCAAAGCCCCCAAUCUAGGUAUAAUGAGCAUUGAUGUUAUGCUAAUGACUUAAAGAAAAUCACUGAGUUUUCUCAUGUUAUAAUGAUUUGUGGGAAAGGAAUACAAGUGUCAUCUUUCCCUAACUUUACAGCAGGGCCAUCGGGAAUGGCCCAAAGACUGAGGCCAGUGGAUGUGUCACUUUCCCCUUUAAGACAGUUGGGUUUUCACAGUAUGUUUUUCGAAUUACAUUUUGAAUUGAGGGAGGGAAGACUUUGCCCCCAAUUUAAUGCUCACAUUGGCACUGCCCCCUUGUUGCAGAAAAGUAUGAAUUUCAAGUGGGGGAAAAGAAGCAGGAAUUAAAUUGUUCUAUAUAAAAAUCUGCAGACUUUUAAAAAAAAGGGGGGCAGGGGGAGAGGGCACCUUCCAGCAGAGAAGGAAGUAUCAUUCAGAGAAGAAAGGAGUGUUUUAGAGGAGAAUAACUUUAUCAGCUUAACAUGAAACCACCAGUCAAUAGAAACAGCUGGAAGGGAAGAUGGCUUUGGUUAACAAAUUUCAAUAAAGCAAGAAUGACUCGAGUCCAAGGAUCUUUAAGAAAUAAAAUAUAAGUGCCUUCCCACACUGUGUAAGAAGGCAGGCCUUUAUUUAUUUGUUAAAAAUUAUAAUUAUCCAGGAUUUAUGAGUAAAUCUUCUCAUAGAACUGUCUCCUGGUCCUGGAGUCUAUGAGAAAUAUUUAUGGUCCAGUCUUAAAGAAAGCACAAGAACACACAUAUAUGUCCUUUGGAGACAGUCUGCGAUUUCAAUAGUACAGAAAUUCUAUCCACUUAUACAGAUUAUCUUAGAGAGUUUUCUAGGAUCACUGAGAGUUGAAGCAACUCAUCCAAAGUCACUUUGCUAUAUUAUGGCCAAUUGGACUGGAACUGAGGUUUUUCUUUAACCAUUUUGCCAUAUUACCUCUCAUGCCUAAUUUAUCUAUCUAUCUUUCUAUCUAUAAUAUCCAUAAUUAACCUACAUUUUAGAGGCAGUAUUAGAACUUCCUCAUUUUACAAAUAAGGAAACUGAGGCUCAGGAAAAUUAAUUUUCUUCCUCAGCUAAUGAAUAUAAUUAGAAUCCAUUGUUUCACCAUGAAUUUUUGAGGUUCAAAUGCUAGCUUCACUGCUCCUGAGCAGUGACUUUGGGAAAAGUAACUUCUCUGACCUUCAGUUUCCUCACUUUUAAGAUAUAAUUCCUACCAUUAUUACCCUCUUCUAAUACAGAUUGAAGCCCAUUUAUUACUUGGUAAAUAAGUCUUAGAUAUUUUAUUGAAGCAAAUCAGGGUUAAAUGUUUUGCCCAGGAAAACACAACUAAUAAAUGAUGUGGGGUUGAAUA